ACCAUACAGACAACGGACGGGACGCACGGCGCAGUAAGUAGACUAACGUGUUUUGUUGUUGUAACCAUGACUACCGCCACAGCCAUCUUGAAAACAGCCGGGUGGCUGUCAGUGUUUAUGACACCUGAGUAACGUCCCAUAUGUCCAAGAUCACAGUUUUAUGAACUACAUCAAAGUCAUAACAACAAGCCGCGGAUUUCGGCGGAAUCAGGAUUGUUCUCCGCGGAAUCAAAACUUUUUCUCUGCAGAUUCCUGGAGGGUCUAACAUAGGGACCUCCUGUGAAGUCUGCAGACUUAGGUGCUCUAAAAACUAUGAUAUAAACCAUGGAUUCACACAAACAAUAUUUAAAAUCAUGCAACCAAUAUUAUCACAUCAAAUAGGUUAAAAAUGUAAGAAUCCUAUCAAUUUUCUGCUUUGAAAUAAGAACAAUUCUUAUUUCUUAGAAACACAUUAUUUUCUUAGCUUUUUGCCUGAAAUGUUGAAAUUUGAAGAAAAAAAAGCCAUUUAUGAAUAGUAAUAAAAAAUGGGACAAGUUCGAAUGAAAUGGGUUUUUGUGCAUGAAAACUGAAGCUUUGUACUUUCUUUUCCUAUUCUUAUUAAUAAUGUAUACUUUGGGAAAAAAAUAUUUCGAGAGCUUGAAAGUUCAAUAAAUUUGGUCAAAAAUGCUGAUGGUGACUGGUAACUCUUUCAUAGGCUCACUUACACUUUGUUGUGCUGUCAUCUCAUCUGAUUCCUCACUAUAGUUACAGGGAUUAAAAACUACAAUAAAGCAAUCAUCACUUUUAAACCUCAUAGUGUAGUUUGAUUUUGUGGGUCAGAAAGAGGCAUCACUGUUUAUAACUUUGUUUCAUAAUCAGUUAAAAAAAAAAACUCUUCACAGGAGAUUUAAAGGUACAGUUUGAAGUAUUUUGCAGUAUAUACAAAAACAGACUUGGGAGAAAUUAAAUGUACUCUUUGUGACAAUGUUUAAAUGAGAGUUUCAUUUUGGAAAUCAGCAUUGAAACUGUAGUUCAGUAUAAGAACUAGACUUUACUGUGCAUUUAUUCUUGUGCCUCUGUACUAAAGAAGAGUGUUUGGUUGUACUCUUACCUACAGCCACAAUCAAGGAUUAGAAAAUAAAAAUGAAACUACUCUAGUACAGUUAAUUGUUCUCUUUACCCUCACUGUCAUUCAUAAUGUCCAUUGUAUGUAUUUAGAUGAAUUAUUAGCAAGUGUCUGGGUGUGGAUGUCUGUCAGUAAGAUGCAACUCAUACUGGGGAGUAAAAUGGUAGAGGGGCAUUGACAGUGACCUCCAGCUCCACUCUCCCUCAGGUCAGAGUUCAGGGUGAACAUGAUGCUAAAGGAUCCAUCCACAGGGUGCCUGUGAAGAGAGAUGGUUCCUCGUAAAAAAAAAAAAAUCAAUGCAUGGCCAGUGGUGGGUCUCCUUCUCAAUCAGCCACCAUGACAGCUGCUCCAGAUGGCCACUGGGUAAGUUGGCUGUCAGGCCAUCAGUAUCAUCAUUACCCAUAAGGCUCAGCCCGGUCAAAAGGUCAAGGGGUGGCCUCUCUGGAUUUGUCAACCUGAAACACCAGGGAAGUGCAAAAUAUUUGUAUCACCGUCGACAUGUGUGAUAUUUAUCUACUUUUUGUAAAUGAUGGAUCAUAAUGUUCACUGUAUGCAUAACUAAAAAACUCAAAAACACCAAAGCAGCGGUGCAGAAAGGGAGAAUUCAUCACAAGAAGUCAACACUUCACUUUCAAUUCUGCUGCAAAAUCAUAAAGAAUGAAGACAUGGAGAAAAUCAAAGUGUUUGUCUCAGUGUAAAUACUCAAUAACAAAGUAUUAUGGGAUAUGGGUGAGAGUGCUCAGGUCGCAGGACAGACCCUCUAGGAAUAAUGAUCUGAGCGCGUACAUGGCUGCUACAGAGCCCGACUGUCUUUGAACAGUAGAUGACCCCUGUGAACUCAUACCAACCCCAACUCUGAUGGAUCUGAGGUCACCAGGUCAUGGCAGGGUCAGGGGUCACAGAGAGGACUCCUGUCUGACCUUUGGCACUGUGUGUCACUGAUAACCUGCAGCGGUAUGAGGAAACAGAGUGUUAGGAGAAAGUAAAAAGGGAAACAUUAACCCCUUUGUUUGAGAGUUGAAGUCAUGGCCCUGCCUCCUCUACUGUAGUUCUUACUUCUUUGUUUAGGCCUAGCUUCUUCAGUCAGAGCCAUCAUGUGUUUGGUUAAGUUUAGCCUUUGUGAGCAUUGUACAGGUUUUAUACUUUGAAGUAACCAGUCUUGUUCAUUUUUAGAGUUAUAGGCGCACAAUAUUACAUGCCUUUUCAAUAUGUAUUGGAGCAAGCAGCUUGUUAGCUCAAGUUAGACUACAAAGAGAACAGACAGAGAAAAAUUAACAACUUGCUGAAAACAAAUUCAACAAAAUCAACCCAACAGCACCUCUAAAGCUAUUAAACCUUUUAGAUCAAAUCAAUACACACAGUGAGCAGUUCAAAAACAAGAAUGCUGGGCCUUUUUUUCUAGUUUUGUGCUCAAAUAAAGUAAUGAUGGCUAUAUUUCACUGAUAAGAGGGCGGCGACUAUUAUCUCACUUUAAGAAAGGCACACACUAGUAGAGUCACAAAUCUUAGCAGACGUUAGCAUACAGCAGUGGUUCUCAAGUCCAGUCCUCGAGGCCCAUUGUCCUGCAUGUUUUGGAUGUUUCCCUGCUGCAACACACCUGAUUCAAAUGAUUAGCUCGUUAAUAAGCCAUUACAGAGCUUGAUAACGAGCUAAUCAUUUGAAUCAGGUGUGUUGGAGCAGGGAAACAUCCAAAACAUGCAGGACAGGGGGCCUCCAGGACUGGACUACUGUAAUACCCUGAGACCAUAGUAGUGGUCCAUAGUGCUGGUUACCACAUGACAUUAAACUGAGGACAGAUAAAGAAGAGGUAGUAAAAGUUUCUCAUAAAUAUCAUAAUAAUAUUGUAAUAAAGACUAUGUUUUCACGUGCCCGUCUAUUUUCAUAAAUGGACAUUUAACCCUCUCUGUUUACAAAAAAAAAAAACUGCAUGCACAUCACUACAUUUUCAGAAAAGUUUUAUAGUAACCCGUGUAUAUAUGCCAUCAAGAGCAUAUCAAACUUGUGGGUGGCAGUGUAGCGAGAAGCUCAAACCCAUGUUCGCCAAUCAGAAUCCCGCAUAGCAGCAACAACAACAUCCCUUCCUUCUUUCCUGCGCACAAUCUGCUGUCAGCUUCCCAAAUCUCAGUUUUUUCUCUGUUUACAUUUAAACAUGCCAACAGAGUUUUCCAAAAUAUCUAGCCUGGCUGGGCCAUCCUGUUGCAUGAAUCACUUGAUGUUCCUUCCCACCACAGUCUGGACUUCGGCCCAUAGAGAGCGUGUGUUCCCAAUCAGAAAAUAACCGGGCUAAUCAGAGACCCGGACAACAGGGAAAGGCAGCCCCUGAUUGGUCCAUGUGUAGAUGGUGACGUCUAACACAUGCUGCGGGACUUUUCAAAGCCCCGUUCAUUCAGAACGCCGUUAGUUCUGCAGUUGACUCUGCAAAGUUGGCAGAAAUCGUUUAUAUCCGCAGAAGACAUUGGAUUGAGACUUUGACAGCCUUUGCUUCAAGUUUGCUGUUGUUGCCGUGGCUACCUUUGUUUCUUCUUUGUUCAGCGUGCUUGCUGACUGGCUAUCAUUACAUUCAUGUGACAAUUUAGAGUUUGUACUUUACUGUCCUACUGUCCUUGCAGAUUUUUAACAGUGGAUGUUGAGCUUUUUAAUUUAAACUGCUUCAUAUUAGUGUGGCGACAAUCUUCUCCUGAGCAGACUUAAGGUGCAAGAUCAUUCUUGACAUACCUCUCACUACAGGGAAAUCUGGAAAGAAAAUCCCUGAAACUGUUAAACAAUUGGUCUUGGCUAACUUUUAUCAGAACGGAGAACUGUGCCCAAAAUCUGCCUGAUUAUUUUGUAGUGUUUACCCUGCCUAACUCUUGCCAAAAUACAUAAGAAAAGAAAAAACGCUCUUUACUUGUAAAAUAAAAUGUUUAAUAAGUCAUCCUUUUACUUUUCCCUACCUUUAGGACCUAUAAUAUUUGUGUUAUGAUGUUUUCAAAUUAACUGUGGUAGCACAGCAGAUAAACAAAGUCAGAUGAUCCAAGUUAAAAAACAUGACUUCCAGAUCUUUAACAUGGCUGCCUUGUCAUCUGCGAGCGAUUCUUUAUGUAAUGCUAAUCAUUUAGAAGUGCAAAUUAAUGUGUUCAGUUAUGCAAAUUCAGUCAACAUUCAGCAGAGGUACAAGUUGCAAUCAAAGACAGCAUGGGUGACAGUAAAACGUCACCAACGACAGACAGCUAUAAUGAUAAAUGUUCAGUUUCCUUUGCAGACUUCCUCUGAUUAAAAACCGCCAAGGAUCAACAGCAUGUUUUUAAGAUUGCUGUCUGUUUACUGGCCUUCCUGGUCAAAGACUCACUGUGUGUGCAUGUAAACAUUAUGUGCUGUCUUUCUGUCUCACACACACACACGCAUGGCUGUAUAGGGAAACAGCAGUCAUGUAGGAGGGAAUGCAAUUCCAGUAUGUCUGAUGGAGCCACAGUGUGACACGACCCUCCAAACAACAGAUGCAGGCACACACACAAAAGAGCAAAUACACACCAAAAUGCUUCCAUACAUGCACAUAAUACACACUCUAUAUGUGACCUAGCCAAGACAACGGCACCCACCUACACCGCAAUCUGUGUGACGGUGGAAAGCUCAAUAAAUUUUGCCUAUUUUUGUUGAGAUUGUAUUUUUCAAAAUAUUUUGUUGCUGGCACUAAUCAGAUCUGUUAAUGGGAGGUUGCAGCGGAAACAGAGAAAUGUGUCUAUCACAUGGUGACAAUGCCAAAGCUGAGAGUUGAUGUGUUGACAAUAGUCUAUUCAGAAAUAUGAAACAGUGAUAUUGUGCUAACACCAAGGAAACAGUAAUACUGUGUAGUUAUAGUUUCAUAAUAAAGGGAAGAAAGGGUUCUCUACCGUGGAGGCCACCAGCAAUAAAACAGAGAUACUGUCGAUUAACUCUGUCUGAGUUUGUGUGCAAGAAAAGAAAAGCAGACAUGGUGGUGUUCUUUGAUAAGGUCUGUGUAGAUAUAAUGUUAUAGACAAUGUUAAUAUCAUGAAUACUUUUGUCCAUAAUCAUCAUGAGGUGAUAAUCUGUUAUUGUGACAAACCUAAUGUCAGUCUUCAUGGACAUGAACACGUGUGGUUCAUUCUGGAGACACUAAGCGACCUCUCACAUACAGGGAGGAUCUGCCAAGUAUGAAGAGCUGCCAAGAGUUAGCACAGUAUGUUUUUGCUGUUGAGCUGGAUCUGCAGUACCCAUGGUUCCCAGCAGCUCUGAUGUAGUUUGUGGUAUUGAUGAAGCCAGCACUUUUGGACAUUUGAUGUAGUUUUACUGACACAUUAAGACAGAUCCCAAUCGGCUAGAAAAAAAAAGUUUGGUUUCAAAGGUUCAGGUUUCUGAGGAUGGAGGAUAAUUCACGUUUUAUGCUUCUUUACCCUUAGCCCAUAUUUUUGGAAACCACCUCAAAAACAUCACAAUUACAAGGCAGAUUGCUCAAAUAUGUAUCUGGAUUAAAGUCUGAGUCUUUAACCAGAAAGUAAACCUACAAAUUUAAGUUGUAUGUGUGUUUCAAAGUUUUCAAAACUGCAAUUUUUUCACAAUUAAUAGGUCAACUGGAUUUUCUUGACUUUUAAACUAUCUAUGAUUAGAAGUAGAAAUUAAUUAUGUAUUUGAUUUGGAAAAUGUCAAUGAUUGAAGUUUGUGGAGCUUUGGAGGCUCUAUACAGACAGAAAAUUUAAAUGAAGAUGAAAAAAAAAAUGUACAUGAUCGUGAACUUAAAUCAACCUAAAAUAAAUAAAUAAAUAAAACGAUGACCAAGAACUAGUUUGAUCAUUCUGACUUGUGUGAGCUGAACUUCUAGCUUGCUCAUUUUUAGUGUGAACUUGUACAACAGACUAAUGUAAGUACUUAGAGGUGUUUUGUUUUAAAUGAAUAGGUUAACUCUUAAAGUGUAGAAAUUUUAAGAGACAAAUUUUUGAUUUAAUUGAUUUUGUGGUUAAACAUUCAAAUUAGUGGACAUGAGGAAAUUUCUCAUUUUUUGAAUAGCUUUUUAAAAAUAAUUUAAGUCAGAAAUUUUCAUUUUUAUUGGCAAAACAGAUUUAGCAUUUUUAGGAGUUUUUAUAAGCGAAGGAAAUUUGUUUUACAGUUGGCAAAAAAUGAAUUCUGUUGGUUACAACUACCCUCACUUGGCUAAAAAAGAAAUUCUGGCAGCACCAGCAGAUGCUUUUUAUCCGUAUAUUUGAGGUUUACCUUUGUCACAGUCAAGGUGUCUAAAGAUUGGCACAACAAUACUAUUUCAUUUAGCUAUCCAAAAGCAUCUUUUCUAAAUUCAGGAUCGCUCACACCCUGAUCUUCUGUAACCUGGAAUAAAAAAGCAGAGAAAACAACCAGCAAACCUAAAGGCUGUUGAACUACAUUUGUCUCUCAGACAGCACCUACAGUCUGCUCUGCCAGCAAAAGAAAACAAGGAAAGAGCAAGCAGACGGAGGGGGGCUGUUGUAUUAUCCUCCUCACAGGGGGGUGGGUGGGUGAAAUGGGGGCUCUGCCAUGUUAUUGAAAUCUCCAAGUCCUGAAGCACUCCGCUGUACUUCUCAUUAACCGCUGCGAUGUUUGCCGGGGUGUCUCUUUCCUCUUUAAUAAUAAAACAACGCUCCCCUCUUUUCUGCCGACUUAAAGGAUUUCCUAAUUUAAUCAACACGGGCAGGAACAAUAACAACAAAAGCAUCAACAAUGGUAACAUGGCCUCCAGUGUGUUGUCGUACUUUUGCGGAGCAGAGAACAUGCUUGGAUGUGGGGAAAGUCAUGUGUGUGUGUGUGUGUGCUUGUGUUUUCACUUCCUGUGCGCAGAUGAAGAGCAAAGAAACUAGAGAGGAUGACAUUUAGCUCAGUCUGCACAAGCUAAUAACGCGGCUGUCAGUCAAUCACUGCAAACCGAUACACACACACACACACACGUAUGAAGAGGAAACUGUUGUCUGAGUGCGUGUUUACACAAAGCGGUGACACACAUCCACCCAAGAAGUUCCUCAAAGUGAGCAAGAGUGACCAAAGCUUGACCCCGACAGGACACCUCAGCCUCAGUGUACAUAGGCAACCUGACCUGACUCUCACCCCGAAUAUCACUGCACUACCUUUAGACCCACACACAAAUAUACAUACACAUGCAUAGUCACACACACACACACCAGUGUUUAAAAGGUCUACUGACCUCAUGAUCACCCUCUCAGAGUCCAGCUGGCCUCGCAUUCACCCCCUGCCCCCUGGAUCACCCCAGACAGCACCCUGAGAGAGACAGAAGGGGUGGGGUUAUAGGUGAAAGGCUACGUUAUCGUCCUCUCAGUGGGUGUCGACAGAUCCAUUUCCCAACUCAGGACGGCUUAAAAGCCAGGGUAGAUUAAUCACAGAAUAAAUAAUUAAGAGUUUUCUUAUUUAAUUUCAAUAUAUUUAUUUGUUAGGCAGGUUUGUGUUGAGAAUAGAAGUCAGAUUUUAUGCAAGCAUUAGAAUUUUUUUUUUUUUUUUUUUUUUUUUGGGGGGGGGGAUUAAAGGUGUCAGUCAUUAGUAUUUCAUCUGUACUUUCCUUGUGUUUUCCUAAUUGUAUGUCUUCUUACCAUUCAACAAUAUACCUUUGUGGUCUUAGAAAUGGGAGUGAAUCUUUUUUUUCCACACAUUUAUUCAACUACUUGUAAAGAAAGACAAAGGACACAUCAUAAUCCAACAUGCAAACUCUAUAAAUAUACAUUGAUGUGAAUUUAUUUUGUAGAAAUGUGUGUUAAUAGUCUGUUUGGUAACAACUUAAUGUCAAUCCACCUCUUAUAAUACAUUAUGAGCACCUUUAUAAAGCCUUAUAAAUGCAUUGCUGGUGUGCUUAUAAUGUAUCAUAAGUAUACACAUACACAUAAACACCUGUGUUUGUAUUUAAACCCAUACAAACAGACACACAUUUUCACACAUACAUGUACACACAAAGAAACUUAUGUACAUGUAUGUGUAUACACCUUUACGUGUGGUUUUAUUUAUUAGUUGGUUAACACAAAGCUGCACUGACUGGUUUUUAGGCCUACACUGGAAAAACAGUCAGUGCAGAAAUUAAACUUAACACUAUGGCAGUACAGGUUCUUCAAAAAACACCAUUAUUGAUUCAAACAUGCAGAGUUUUACUGAGCUUCAGAGGUAUCCUAGCCCUACACGUUGUUUUUGACUUAUCAUAUUAAAGCAUGAAUGUUUUUGUUAUGUGAAGACGGUACGAUGCUCCUCAUAUGUGUUCUGGUGCCUUAUUCUGCUCAUGUUGUUUCUUGAAAAUGCAAUUCUCCAGACACGUUAAAUUCAAUGCCCACCACUUUGCUGGUUCAAAUGCUGUUCCUGUGGGAUUCGAUUAGCAGUCUUGUGCUAUAGAUAACACCAACAAAGAGUGUUAAACAGCGAGUACAUAAUUCAACAUUGUAUUAGAGGUGGAAAAAAAAAAAAAAACAUCUAAUUUUGUCUGCCAGUCAAGAACAACAUACUACACACAAGAAUCCAUGGAAACAUUGGGGGAAAGGUAGAAUUUUGUGCACAAUAUGCAAUAGCUCCAUCAUAUUUGAAAUGCAAACCGGCUCCUUUGGUGAGAGACUAGUGGGAGUUGGAGGUGCACUGCAAUGGCUUCUGGGAGUAGAAAACAAACAGCGCUGUCAAAACAAAUGCUUUAAUGCCUGCGGAGGCUGUCCUGCACUCUGCAGUUAGCAAGACUGGUCCAUACCAGCCGGCUUAAUAGGCUAAUAUGGAGAGAGAUUUUCUUUUUUUCGGCUGCUUUUGUAAGCUGAACUUUACAUCAAAGACCUCUGAUUAAUUACUGAUAAGGGGUUAAUAAAACAUUAAUGCUUUUUGUAAUUAACUACGACUCCGAAACACACUACACCCCCCUGCCGUUGCCGCCACCACUUCUCUCCUCACUCACCCCCAGCUAUAUCUUGUCUUCAUCUUUUUAUGUCACAUUCUGCUGCAUCGUGCCAUCUUGCUUUUUUUUUUUUUUUUUUCUGGGGUUGAAGUGAAAUCAUUAAAAUAGAGUAUAGGAUGGGCCAGAAGGGAACAAACAGCCCCAGAUUUGUUUAUCCUGCUCCAGAGGAGGAUGGGGUGUCGGGUUUUUAAUUAAGGGCUUUUGAAUAUUAAUUUAGAAGGGUGAUGGAGGCUUCAACAAGGUCAAGAUAACGGGGAAAAAAAAGAAAAACAAGAGCUUCAUCACACUGACUUUUACAAGAACUGAGCCUCCAGAAAACAAAACACUCUCAUUAAUUGUCUCAUGGAGGCCAGCGAGAAGGUUCAGACCAAAAGUAACGUUGCAUCAUCAAAAUGGGGAAUCUUGCCGUUCUCUUCACCUGAGCCGAGCACAAAUAGGAAGACAAAAUUUCAGUCCUGAAUACACAAACACUCCAGAGCUACAAUACUGCACAUGUGGCCUUGAAGUUUAUCAGCAUGGUGUCAUUGCCUGAAUGUCACCUGCUCUUAAAUGGAUGGUACAAGAUAUAACGAGACAAGACAGAGACAAGAUAUAAGAUAAUGGAGUAAAAUAUUAAAUAUGAUCACUAUCCCACACCAAAAACAAGACAUUGUAUUGAUAAACGAUGAACUUCAUUCUAGUUUAUUGCCAAUAAAACCCCAAUGAUCCUUGUACACAAACUAUUUAAGCUCCAGUGAGGAGCUUUUAGUUUGUUUCAGUUUUGGUGCCCUCAUCUUGUCUCAUCCACUUCAUUCUUAAGUCGUGACAUAUGAUGAAAAAAACUCAUCCUGCUGAAUUUUGACACUCAAAUCUUUUGUUCAUUGUGAAUAUAUUACUUUAAAAUUUAUUUAUUUUAUUUUGGAAGUAGGGGGAAGAGUGGACCUGACUACCCAGCGCACGAGUAGGGAGAGGGGCCCAUGAAAAUCCUUUUUUUGUUUUCUUUUUUUGCCCAUGCGCCUCAUGCACUGGGAUGGAUAACCCUAACGCUCUGCGCGCGUGUUUAGGAAUGAGGAGCUUUCAACUGACUCUGUCAAAUCACAAUAAAGUGAAAGCUUGUCUACACCAUUUCCCUUUUGGACUGUAAUAAGCUUUGGUGGAAAAGGGGAAUGAUCAGAAUGAAGUACAUUACAAGUUUCUGGUAUUUGUACUUAUUUGUUUGUUUGGACUUAGUUUGACAAAGUCCUUAUCCAUAUCAGGUGACAACAGUACAUGUAUCUGACUGAUGGGGGCAACUUGAUUCUGUCUGUCUUUGGUCUCUGUGUCACUCCCAGGUUGACUGAUUUGUACAUUUGUCAGCAUUUUUCUCCAUAUUUUACCCUUUAUUCACAGAAUUGAGGAGGACUAAGUACUUUGCAUAUGUUGAUUGGUGUCCACAGUCAUAUCAACCUUGACCAGGAGGUAUAUAGAGGUUACAGAACAUGACUGACAUCAGCUCAUAACAGUGACUGAUAUUUUUUCAAAAGCACUUUUUAGUACUGAAAUAUUUAGAGAGUAUAUAAUAUGAAAUGGGAACUUUGUAGGUAUCAAAGUAUUAGUAACUACAGUGCCGAUACAGCUGUUGCUACUCAGCUACUUCAGAAAAACUUUUCAGAGUUUGAACAUUUACCGCUCAUCCCCUGAAGGUGUCAUGAGGGCCAUCUUUAAAGGCACGAGUCAAGGCUUCAAAAUAAAACCAGAGAAAGGAUUUGAAAAGAAGCAUGUUCAUAUGAAGGAGGCAGUAAAUGGCUUCUUUGAUAUUGCCUAUUCAGAGUAGGAUGUUUAUGUCUCUAUAAAGUCUUGCCUUCAAUGUGUUUGUCUUAUAGGGGUGAAGGUGCAACCAAGUUAACCCCACUGUAGUAGUACCAGUGGCGUUACAAGGACGGGACAGGAACUGCAUUAUGACGCAGGCUGUCGCAGACUUGCACUAUGAAAAGGGCGACUGUCUGCUGUCAGAUGUUGUUUGUUGGAUUGUUGUGGAAUGAAGCUCCUUUCAAAUCCUGGAAACUGCAAUUCAGAAAAUGUCAGCUUCUGCUCUGUUGGCUGUACUCUUUCAACGAGUUUCUCCAACUUUAUCAAAAAGCAGAAAAAUAAAACACUUGUUUUAUUUGUUUGACUAACCCUUUAAAAAUUCUCAAACAACAGCCCUCACCUUGAAAUUAAAAAAAUGUGCCUGAUUUGACACAAUGCAGGACUACUUUUGAUUAGGAGAAGGACUUGAUACAGGAAAAUCUGAGCUUACUUAUUUGAUUGUGCUCUCAACUUGCAAAGUGAAUUAGUACAAAUUUUUAGAACUUUCAGAAUGGCGGCAUUGUGUGAGAGUCGGUAUAAAGGGUGUUGCUGUUGUCAUAGAAACAUAAAAAGGACCUAAAGGACCACAAGAUGGGCGCCAAGUUCCUAUACAGAAGCUCUCUCAUAGGCAUACAUUUAAAACACACAUUGAACAGAGGUCAUGCAUUUUGCUUUCUUUCUCAUUGUGUCUCCCAAACACACAUGCACACGCACACUCUACCACACAGUGGAUGAGACGGCAGGAAUGUGUGGUUAAUAUUUAACAAACAGGACCAGAAAUAGAUGGUUUUUGUGUGUUCAGAGGUGAAUGGGUUUCAACAGAGUGGCCUCUGUGGUACAUGAAACAUUCAACACACUCUGAACAGUAAAUCAUAGGAAAUAGAAAAGUAAAGUUUACAUCAAAAUAGACUUGUAAAAGACUUUUCCACCGGACAGGAUGAGACAUAAAGCGGCCCCAACAUUUGAUCAAGAACUGCUAUCCAAAUGGAUGUUCCUGCAAUCAAAAACCUGCAUGUUUAUGCCAGGGAUCGGUUAUUUAUAGCAUAUAGUGACAGCAAAAUUACUGACUGCUUAUAGGAGGGGUAAGAAAACAAGCUUUGAUGACAAACAACCUGUGCUGUUACUUUUAAACAUUAAAAGAGACUGAUUGUUACAACAUAUCAUAGAUUAAAGCAAUCACCGACACUGAUUUAAAGUCCUCAUAUUACCAGAUUUGCAGUAUGUGAGGAUCACAUUACCUUAAAAUGAAAAACCAUCUGGUGUGUGAGUUUGUGCGGGGGUGUUGUUUUUUGCUUUUCUCUGCUUUUUGGAGGCCUGCACAUGUGCUACCUGUGUGUAUGAUAAAUCUGUUCCCUCUCAUAAUCUAUGUGAUUCAAAAUGUGAUAUAUGUGAGCGUGAACUUUGAAUUAUGACCCAUGCGGCGGAUCGUAAAUCUCCUCUCCCAAACUCUCUCUGAGUAUACACUCUUACACUCUUUGGUUUGGUCCACUCAUAAAUCUCUACAAACUGGAGCGGAGGUACACACUCUUUCUUUCUUUCCAACCAACCCUCUCUUUCUCUCUCAUGGAAGUUGGAGACUUCAGAUUAGAAAAAACAACAGAGGAGAGGCCAGCUGACUUUUGGGAGCAAACCUGGAGAAACUAAAGGAAACGCUCAACUUUAAAAGAGCAAACUUUGAUACCAUGUCUUUAACAGGACAGUAAUGCCAGCUAAAGAUACAUAUUUUGGAGUAACAAUCUAUUUCUAAUUAAUUAACAACAACUUGCAGGGAUCCAGUAGCAAACUGGGCUAUCUUACUCACAUGAAAGCAAAGACAUGAAAUUUCACCAUCCACUUGAAUACACUUUGAACUUGCAAAACAAUAACAGUUGUUUUGGCCAAAUCUCCCGCAGUGUCCAGACUGACCGCUGGUUCAAGGACUGGAGCCUUGAGGGUGUUUUCCAGACGGUGUUUUCUCUCUCUGUCUCAUUUGUGUCCCAGCCAAAGUGGAUUUCAGGAGAAUCACAGCAUCAGCAGCCACAACCCGAGUGGUGAGAGGACAAAGGAGUCGUGUGCUAUUGUUACCCCGGCUCUCAAUAAUUUGCAAGUUAGCAUGAGGUGCGAUGUCACAAACAAACGCCCUCAAACAAAGAAAAAAAAAUAUUGCCAUAUCGGCAUCCUUCUGUCACUUGUGAAAAGAGACACCUGUGAUGUGCAAGGGUGAGUGCAUGCUGGUGGGGAUGAUUGGCAAAAAUGUCAGCAUAUAUUUCUGCCCUGCCUUUAAACAUGGAUGACAAAGUUGGUGUCAGUCAAGCAAGCCCAGACUUUGACUGUUAACCUGUGUAAUAGUGGGUUUGAUUCUGAUCAGCCUAAGAUGGAAACAGAUGUUGGUAUCAACAAUCAGAGGUUAAAGGAGCCAAACCUUGGAUUAACCAGGUGAUGCACCCUUUUAACCGAAUAUUAACCAGGACAUAUAUUGAACAAGUUACUCACUCUGCACAACUUGAAGUCCCAAAACCACAUUACCUGUGUCGUUUUCUAGGACUUUUCUUCUGCAGAGCUCCAGUAGCUCAUUAGCGAUUCGCCUCUGAGUCGUGGGCGGAGACAGCGCUGCUCUGCACACUUCUCUUCAUGCUAGCUUGCAGCCUAACAUUGCCGGUGUAGUAGAAGUGGCAGGUAACAUAGGAGCUAUUCAACUCUGAGACUUUGGAGACAUGAUAAAAGUUAAUAUCAUAAUUAGCUUUCUUACGAGCAUUGCAAACCCCUAAUGCUAACUAACUAUGCCGUGAAAACUGUUUUGCAUUUAUCCAUGUACAUAUUGAAUUUUUCACAUUUUCUGAAGGUAUUGGUCAAGUUGUGGCAUUGCUCUUAUCUAGAUCUGAUGAUGUAGGGCAGAAGCCGGGAACUAUUACAUCCAAGGAAGUGAAGAACAAACAUGUUUUUCAUAAAACUACUCACAUGAUAUUCAACCCCAAGCUUAUUUCUGAUACUUUUCAUCCUUUUAGUUUUAUAAAGCUUAUGCUGACAAACAUGUAGAAAGGUCAGCUGUGUGAUUUAUGCAAUGAACACAUGGAGAUACAAGGUUUCUGCCCAACAGCUGCAUGAUGUACCUAUCUUCCACUAAGCAGAUAUGAGUAUUGAAUACAGAGAAAAAAGAUACUCAAACUCGAGUUUUAACUGAAAUGAAACAGCUCUGUGUAAUCCUGAUGACUCUUUGCAACCUGCUUAAGUCAACCAGAUAAUCACAAACCUCAGUACUGACUGUUUCUAUGAAGUGAUUCUUCAUGUCUUCCUUCACUGUCACAGGGUCAGAUUCCUAUAAAGUCAUUUUGGCAAGCGAACCAAAAGAGCCUUUGUUUAUAUUUUCCUAAGUUAGGCUAUGCUGGGAGUCGUACGUCAGCAACAUAAAAGGAAGAAUGAAAAGAUUUUAAUUUUGAAAAUUCUCCGAGGCAUGUUCAGUGGAGGAUGAGCAAAGACAUAGACUGUACUGUUUGUCCCAGACAGCUGCCAAAAUUCACCGAAUAAGCCGUCAUUGUUGCCAUACAGCAGAGGGAAGAUACUCAAGUUGAAGUCUGAGUCUUGAAUUACAACACUUAAGUGCUGGAAGUGAAGGUCAUUGUCAUUUUACCGUUGUAUCUUAUGUUUCCGAAGCAAAUGCACUCUUGGUAAGUUUUGCUCAACCUUGUGUCAUUUUUGGUGUUAUUUCAUGAGUAAAGACAAAGACAGCAAAAAGUAUAUCACAGAAAACAGUAUUUUCCUCAGAACUAAAAUCCUACCAAGGUAGUUCAAGACCCACUCUGAUGAAAAUUUUUCUUGUUGUCUACAUGUUCAUAUGGCAGAAAACUAAUAAUGAUAUUACCUUUCAUCAUGUCCCUAAAUUAGUGUCCGAGAGCUGAAAAAGUCCUUUUUUACCUGCCACUUCUACAACACCAGCAAUGUUAGGCUACAAGCUAGUAUGAAGAGGAGUGUGCAGAGCAGCGCUGUCUCUGCCCACGACUCAGAGGCGAUUAGUUAAUGAGCUACUGAAAAAAAAGUCCUUGAAAAUGACACGGGUAACAUGAGUUUGGCUGAAAAAAAACUUCAUAAUCACAAUUUAAAGACCACUGAGUACACUUUAAAUAGUUUAAAAAAAUAUUAUUAGAGGAGGUGAACUUGAGCAUAUUUUCCACCAUUGUAAAUAAGGCCUGUUUGGAGCAGGAUCAGCAUUCCCUCUGAUGGAGGUAGACUCAAAAGCUUACACAGAACAAAUACCAUCAUGUCAGUCAUCAGUGGUGCUGUUUUUUCCUAUUCUGUCUUCAGUCUUUUAGAGCAGACCCUGCUUGCAUUUAGUGAACUGAUGCACCUGAUAUGCUUCAUUAUGAUUGUCAUUUCCACUUCUGCUCCUACUGGUGCCGCUGCAGCCGUUUUGCAGCGGGUAACGGCGCUAUAUGGAGUAAUUAGCAUGAGUGUGUCGCCGUGGGUUUACGGGACGCAGCGUCGUCGCCUCCAUUACGGCUGACAUUCAUCGCUCAUCAGUCCACUCACAGAUGAUGAUGAUCAACAUACGGCGCAUCAUCGCCGCUAAUGAGAUGCGCUUUGCUGAUGAAAGCCAUUCGUCGAAAUUCAAGCGUAAAAAAUCGAGGCAGAGAGGAAGAAGACAGAGAGACAGGAAAAAAACACAUACACAGGAAGGCACAUUCGGACAGCACUCAUCUUUCAAUCUAAUGGAGUUAACUAAGAUUCAUUAACCACCAGCCAUCUUUGUCCUGCAGGAAUCUUGGAAGUGUGUUUGUGUGUUUGUCUGCUCUCUGUUUCUCUUCCACAUACUCUCUAUCUUGUGUGACAUGUGGUCAUAUUGUGUGUGAGUGUACUGUAUUUGUGUGAGUGGCCAUGAGAAUCAAAACCAAAGUAAUCUGUUUCAAAGGGAAGGUUCACUUCAUGCCAUUAUCCGUAGUGGAAACAAAUUCACAAAUGACUCGCUCCUGGAAAUGUUGCCAUGUGUGUGUGUGUGUGUGUGUGGGUGUGUGUGUGGGGGUGUUGUGUGUGCAGACGGGGUGCUCAUCAUCUCCUGGAAGGAUUGAUAUGAACAUUCUGUCACUCACGGGCAGCACAGAUGGCUAAUUUCCGGAAAAGAGCAGAUUUGAGCCAGGUUUUAAAGAGAAAAAAAAAUAGAAAUGGCACUUUUUCAAAGUGCAUGUGUGUGUGUGUUUGGGAGAAAGUGUGUGUGAGUGUGUGUGUGUGUGUGUGUGUGAGUGCCUAUAAUGUAGCGGGGGUUCAGUCAGGCUUGACCACUGACAGAUAAAAGCUUUGUGUUGUUGAGCUGCCAGCCCAACAUGGCUGCCUGUCAGAGUGUGAGUGAGCAGUGUGUGUGUGUGUCUUUAUGCGUGUGUGCGUGCAGUGAAACCUCCAACGUGAUCUCGGCACCCACAGCUGUGGAGCUCUUCCAAAGUGCUAACAUUUAGACAAACAAACCCUGCUCCACAUCCAUCGAAGGGAAAAAAGAGAGAAAGAAAUCCAGAUAACGUCACUUCAAUACCCAUUUAACACUCGCUCCUCUCGCCACCAAACAUUGGCUGAAGCUUUGUGGAAGGACGAGGGAGAGGUUGUGACAGGAUUAUAGCGCUGUUUACUGUAAAUAACCAAUUUAAUGACCGCUGGCAGGCUUCAGGCUACAGGCCAGGGGCUCGGAGAGAGAAACAGAAAUACAAAUGGGAGUCAUCUGGUUGACUCCCCAUUAGGAGGUACUUUGGAGCAGUGUUUGUGUGAUGGCAUGAAACUUGGCCAUGACAUAAAAUACUCCAACAAAAGUAGUUCAUUUACUGAAGAGGGGGCUUCCUCUUUAGUCAAAUGUUGAGCUGGACUGGGGCUGAUCUGGUGCCUCCAUAACCUCAAGAGGGACAAGCUGUGCAAGAGGACCUCAGACAAUAUACUGAAAUCAGGAUGAGUGUGUGGGCUCACAAUAAAUCUUGGAAGCCUGUAAAAAGGUGCUGAUUUUAAACAGACAUAUGCAUAUCAUCCAUGUUACUGCUGUCUUUGCACAGCUAUCUGCAUGCACUUAUCCUUCAAAUGCAUGUUGCUUUUCUGCAGCAUAUGAGCUCACUCUUAUUUUUUGCAAGUGUGCAUGCAUUCAUGUCUGCACUGCAGGUGCAAGAGUACCUGCUUGUCAGCUGGACAGCAGGAUUUGAAGGUUAAGCCAGUGUGCAAACAUUCAUGCAUGCACAUCAUACGUGUCAGGGCUUCUACAUGCAUGCAAAUUCAUGGUAUAUAUUUGCACGUACCCUUAUAAAAAUACGUUAAACUGAACUUCUUCUGCAACACAUGAAUUUGCUUUGUACACAUGCAUAAGUCUUCCUGUAUGUGUGCGUCACCCAAAAGUGCAUCUUUUUAAUAUACACAGAUGCGUUUUGUUUCUGUGUGUGUGUGAGUGUGUGUGUUUGUGUUUGGCAUGCACUGCAUAGACGCAUAUCUGUGUGUUCAUCUGUGCUAAGCGGAUGAGGGACCCCGUGAGUAACGCUAAAACAUCCAGCUUCUUGUCCUUGCCCUUGUCAACAUGGCGCCGUCCGUUAUCCCUCACCUGGCAGACAAAGACACUUCUUACAGGAGGGAUCAUCAGUCGCCUUUGCAACUCUGCAGAUUCACUCCAUAAAUCCUAAUUAUACCCCUCCCAACUCCCCCCCUCCCUCUCCCACUCUACAAAUAAAUGGUCAGAAAGUGUAAAACAUCUGCUGCGUGGAUCAUCUCAGUGGCUGUGAAGGUAAAUCAUCCUCGUCUGUUUCUAUUAUAAAGGAAGGAGAGUCGAGGGAAUCAGCUCUACUGAAUGUGAAAACAUCACCUCACUGAGUUGUUUCACCACUUUUACUGACUUUUCAGCCACUGGAUCUUUCAACUGUUGUCUGUUAUCUUUUGAAUACUCAAACCUAUGCCCAUGGGGCCAAACAUAGGGUAUAAUAUAGGGAGCAUUUUGUAGGAAAAACCCUCAGUUCAACGUUUGAUCAAGCGGUAAACUUUAAUAGAUCUUCCUGAUAAUUUGUAAUUAUGACUAAAAACCUUCAGCACCUCUUAACUAUUGAUUCAGGCUUUAACUAUUUUCUUGUGUUGAAAUUCUAAUGCAGCUCUUUUGCAUUGUAAAGAUAUUUAACAAGUUGGACCUUAAAACCAGUCCAUAUACAUGCUUGCUGGGUCCACUGGUGACUCUAUAUUACUCAUGAGUGUGAGUACGUCUGGUUGUUUGUCUCUUUAUGGUAGCCCCAUAGACUGUAUAAAGAAUGGACGCCGUCUGCCUCCUUGUUGGGUGAAGCCACCUCCCUAUGGAGCUGUGGACAAACUUUAGAAAUUUAUUACACAUAGGCCUGUCGCGAUAAUCAAUUAAUCGCCUUAUCGCUCGAUAAAUAAAAACGAGGUCGAUAACUUUGCCAGCCUCGAUAAUUGACGCGCGUUUGUUUUCCAAACACGCUGGAUGAGAGAAGAGGUCUCACUCUGCGUAUUUUUCUCGGCACCUGGGGGCGUUGGCUCUAUAGCGGAAUGAACAGAGUUAGUGAACCCUCCUGUCAGUCAUUCAGUGUCUUUGUUACGAGGGGGCGCGCGCGCAGGUACACGUAGGCGCGCACAGGCACACAGACACAGACUUUUGGAUACAGUGCUGCAAGUGAGCGUCGUGAGUGAAAAGCAAGCUAACAGAAUGAACACGACAGCUUUGGUGUCUAAACCGAACGCAACAGCCCAAGUGUGGGAAUAUUUCGGCUUUAAACCAGUUUUGUUUUCGUCAACCACAAAACUCCACGUGUGUGCGCGCGCGCGCGUGUGUCUGUGUGUUGGAGGAGCACAGCAGGCUGACGAGAGCUGUCAGAGCGGACUGAUCUGCUCCUAUAUGUUUAGCGUUUAACUGACUGAGUUUUGCAACUCUGUUCGUCAUUUUCGUCUCGUCCCAUCAACGUAAACACACUUUCGUCUCGUCACAUUUUAGUCAUCUCCGACUUAUGUUUAGCUCGUCAACGUUACGUCUUCGUCGUGGGUGAAAUUAAAGUUUAUCACUUUUGACACGGUGUACUCGCAUUAUUAUGCCAUUUCAUAUCAUUAUCUAUAAUUUAAAAACGGUGUCAAUAAUAUCGUUUAUCGGCGAUAAUUUGUAGCACAAUUAUCGUCCAGCGAAAAUUGUUAUCGUGACAGGCCUAAUUACACAGAAUAUACAUUUUUCUCCCCUCUGGUUACGAUGUUGCUGUGUAGUUGCUGUAAGACUGGUUUGUUCUCAAGUCCUCUUUUUUCUGUGCAGCUCCAUUUUUAAAAGUUAUUGGGGGGUUCAUGUUUUCAUGGGGGUAUGAAGAUUGCAUAGCUCACCUUGGGGAUUCUGCUGUUUGAGCUGAGCGUCAUCACAGUGACUCUUGAUGUCUCUCCCGCCGAAUGCGUACAAUGCUACUGUGUAAGUGGUGGAGUGCGUACAUUAAUACAGUGCAAGCGGUGGUUCCAGGAAGUGGAGAAAAUCCAGUAAAUACCUAGAGUAAUUCCACUUCAAAUUCGUAUAGUGACAGAAGGCGGAGCCAAGUUGUCCAUAGUAUAUACAGUCUAUGGUCAGCCCCUGUUAGACUGGCAACCCGUCGAGAGUGUCUCAGAUCUUUGGCCUGCCUGGAAGCUUGGAUAGGCUUCAACCCCACUGCAACCAGGACAGGUCAAGCAGCAUAUAUAAUGUAUGAAUGGAUGAAGGGAUUGCCAUUCAAGCAUGGGAUGCAUUCAUGUUAACAAGCUGGUGUGGUUGCUGGCAGCAGUAUUCAUGUUCACUUGUCGAGGCCAUAAACUGGUGGUCAAUGGAUUAUUUUGUAAACCCUGGAAGCCUCAUGCUCACGUGAAUGUUCAAGAAACAACGAUUUGAAAAAAGGACCCACUGGUAAAGAGGUCAAAAGCAGGUCUGAAACUUAUCAACGAUAUUUUUAGUAUCAUGUUUCAAAGACGAGCUGGAUUUUAUACUAGGCACUAAACAAUGGAGUAGCUUCUGAUUACACUUUCUUGCAUUGGCUUAGUUCAACUUGUGAUCAUUUCCUGAUUGGAUUGGCUUCACUACCAACUAUUUGGAAGACAAGAUAUGCAACCAGCUUGUUUAACAAUUGAUUGUUUUUGAAGAAAAUGGUAUCGACCAUAUCUAAUGCAAUAAAGGAGUGUAAAUCUAAAGGCUUUCACGACUCAGAAUAACUCAAUUUCUUUGCUGGGGAUGAAACAUAUUGCUGGCGUUGCUUUUUUUUCUCUUUUUGCAUGUUUUCCCUGGCACAAAUCCAGCCACUUGAGGCCCAUCAUGAUUUGGAAGCAACUGUCUUUGUCAACUUAAAAAACAAUCUAAAAAAUGUGAAAAUAUUCAUGUUUUGUUUCCAACACACCUGUAGAAUGGUGUUUCGGUGGGAAAUUAAAACAGCUCCUGUCGAUAUUGUUGAUUAGGCAGGUUGCUUCUUCCUCUAUCUGCCAGCUCUCUUACUUUACAACAACAAGGCUGGUUGCUUUACAGCCCAGAAUGAGAAGAAGGUGCUGCUUUGCCAGUGCAAACAAAGAUUUUGAAUUUCUGAUGACAACAGAUGGUGGAGAAAGUAAAAAGCUGAUGGGAAAUAUUUCCACAACAUAUUUGUCUUGGUCUUCAACUCUAAAAUGUACUCUAUCUAGUGGAGAAAUAUGUGGGAAACAGAAUGGAAUUAUUCUGAAAUACUGAAAUGAAUUGAAAAUGCUGAUAAUAAAAAUAACUCAGGGAUGGGAAAUAGAAUCGCCAUUCAACCCUUAAAGAAAAAAACUUAAUGUAAGACCUUUAACUUCUACACCUACAGCCGCUUACUUUUGUUAAAUAUUUAACAAGUGUACUCACCGGCUCUGUUGUUAUUGACAGUCCAUUGUUGUUUACUGGCGUAAAAAAACAGAUGGCCUUAACAUUUUUGAUGUUGGGGGGGAGGGAGGAUGGCAGCGGGUUCAUGCUAGUUUAGUUUUGUGUGUGUUUCUCGUGCAGGCGUCUGGUAUUUUAUUUGCCCUCGUCCUUUUCUGCCUGUCUCUUCUCCCCUUCUCCCUCUCUCUCUUGGCUCUCCUCAGCCUCCAGCCAGCCUUGCCGCAGACAGGAGGUCAGGCCAUGCCACUCCGCUCUGCCUGCUAUGAGCGCUGGGUCACCGAGCCAGAUAACACCACCAACUGUUCAAUAUUUGAAGAAAUCAAGCAUUGUGUUUGUUUGAAAUUUCACUAUUUGUUCACAUUCUUACCACCUCCCAUGAUAAAUCUUGCACUUUAUGCAAAACAGUUGAGCAGUUCAAGGGUGGAAGUAACAAAUUAAGGCUCUGUGAAAGCUGUGGAGCGGCUGCUCUUUUGUUUUCUUGUACUUUGUUUGGUAAGAUAAAUGUGGGUUUGAGUCCUUUACUUUGCUAAAUUUCAAACCAAUUCUUUGUAGAUUACAAACGCAGGUUUUCCAUGAGAAAUAGACCGGUCAUAGGUGUAAUGAUUCAUGUUAUUACUGACCCAAACUUCUGACUGAGUCCUAUUGUGUGUCAACUGAUAACAGAUGUUCCAAUUUUGUUCAAAAAUCUUUUGAAUUAAACUU